AAAAAGGCCCUUUUCAGGGCCACCACAAUUAUUUCUAUUAAACUGAUU
rnacentral:ncRNA from 1 species